AGUGAACGCUGGCGGUAGGCCUAACACAUGCAAGUCGAACGGCAGCACAGUAAGAGCUUGCUCUUACGGGUGGCGAGUGGCGGACGGGUGAGGAAUACAUCGGAAUCUACUUUUUCGUGGGGGAUAACGUAGGGAAACUUACGCUAAUACCGCAUACGACCUACGGGUGAAAGCAGGGGCUCUUCGGACCUUGCGCGAUUGAAUGAGCCGAUGUCGGAUUAGCUAGUUGGCGGGGUAAAGGCCCACCAAGGCGACGAUCCGUAGCUGGUCUGAGAGGAUGAUCAGCCACACUAGAACUGAGACACGGUCCAGACUCCUACGGGAGGCAGCAGUGUGGAAUAUUGGACAAUGGGCGCAAGCCUGAUCCAGCCAUACCGCGUGGGUGAAGAAGGCCUUCGGGUUGUAAAGCCCUUUUGUUGGGAAAGAAAAGCAGCAGGUUAAUACCCCGCUGUUCUGACGGUACCCAAAGAAUAAGCACCGGCUAACUUCGUG
rnacentral:rRNA from 1 species